ensembl:rRNA 5S_rRNA 5S ribosomal RNA
GUCUAUAGCCAUACCACCCUGAAAACACCGGCUCUCCUCUGAUCUCGCGAGCAAAGCAGGGUCUAGCCUGGUUAGUAAUUGGAUGGGAGUAGAUCCAGGUCACAGUAUAAU